CCUACGGGAGGCAGCAGUGAGGAAUAUUGGUCAAUGGGCGCGAGCCUGAACCAGCCAAGUCGCGUGAAGGAUGACUGCCCUACGGGUUGUAAACUUCUUUUAUAAAGGAAUAAAGUGAGGCACGUGUGCCUUUUUGUAUGUACUUUAUGAAUAAGGCUCGGCUAACUCCGUGCCCGCAGCCGCGGUAAUACGGAGGAUCCGAGCGUUAUCCGGAUUUAUUGGGUUUAAAGGGAGCGUAGAUGGGUUGUUAAGUCAGUUGUGAAAGUUUGCGGGUCAACCGUAAAAUUGCAGUUGAUACUGGCAGUCUUGAGUACAGUUGAGGUAGGCGGAAUGCGUGGUGUAGCGGUGAAAUGCUUAGAUAUCACGAAGAACUCCGAUUGCGAAGGCAGCUUACGAAACGGCCACUGACACUGAUGCUCGAAAGUGUGGGGAUCAAACAGGAUUAGAUACCCGAGUAGUC
rnacentral:rRNA from 1 species